rnacentral:rRNA from 1 species
CCUACGGGUGGCAGCAGUGGGGAAUAUUGGACAAUGGGCGAAAGCCUGAUCCAGCCAUGCCGCGUGUGUGAAGAAGGCCUUCGGGUUGUAAAGCACUUUCAGUGGGGAAGAAAGCCUUGGGGCUAAUACCCUCGAGGAAGGACAUCACCCACAGAAGAAGCACCGGCUAACUCCGUGCCAGCAGCCGCGGUAAUACGGAGGGUGCGAGCGUUAAUCGGAAUUACUGGGCGUAAAGCGCGCGUAGGCGGUCUGAUAAGCCGGUUGUGAAAGCCCCGGGCUCAACCUGGGAACGGCAUCCGGAACUGUCAGGCUAGAGUGCAGGAGAGGAAGGUAGAAUUCCCGGUGUAGCGGUGAAAUGCGUAGAGAUCGGGAGGAAUACCAGUGGCGAAGGCGGCCUUCUGGACUGACACUGAGGCUGAGGUGCGAAAGCGUGGGUAGCAAACAGGAUUAGAUACCCUGGUAGUC